AACGCGAAGAACCUUACCUACACUUGACAUCCUCGGAACUUUCUAGAGAUAGAUUGGUGCCUUCGGGAACCGAGUGACAGGUGCUGCAUGGCUGUCGUCAGCUCGUGUCGUGAGAUGUUGGGUUAAGUCCCGUAACGAGCGCAACCCUUAUCCUUAAUUGCCAGCGGUUCGGCCGGGAACUCUAAGGAGACUGCCGAUGACAAAUCGGAGGAAGGUGGGGACGACGUCAAGUCAUCAUGGCCCUUACGUGUAGGGCUACACACGUGCUACAAUGGUCGGUACAAACGGUCGCAAACCCGCGAGGGGGAGCUAAUCCGAGAAAGCCGAUCGUAGUCCGGAUUGGGGUCUGCAACUCGACCCCAUGAAGUCGGAAUCGCUAGUAAUCGCGAAUCAGAAUGUCGCGGUGAAUACGUUCCCGGGUCUGUACACACCG
rnacentral:rRNA from 1 species